rnacentral:tRNA from 7 species
UCGGGAUAGCUCAGUUGGUAGAGCAGAGGACUGAAAAUCCUCGUGUC